rnacentral:tRNA from 1 species
UCUAAUAUGGCAGAUAAAUGCUAUAAACUUAAAAUUUAUAUAUAAAAUUAAAUUUUUAUUAGAA